rnacentral:rRNA from 1 species
GUGUCAGCAGCCGCGGUAAAACGUAGGACGCGAGCGUUAUCCGGAGUUACUGGGCGUAAAGGGCGGGUAGGCGGCUAGUCAAGUUGGAUGUGAAAUCUCCUGGCUAAACUGGGAGGGUGCAUUCGAAACUGAGUAGCUAGAGGACAGCAGAGGGUCGUGGAAUUCCGGGUGGAGUGGUGAAAUGCGUAGAGAUCCGGAGGAACACCAGAGGCGAAAGCGGCGACCUGGGCUGUAACUGACGCUGAACCGCGAAAGCCAGGGGAGCGAACGGGAUUAGAAACCCCGGUAGUCC